AGCGAACGCUGGCGGCAGGCCUACACAUGCAAGUCGAACGAAGUCUUCGGACUUAGUGGCGGACGGGUGAGUAACACGUGGGAACGUGCCUUUAGGUUCGGAAUAACUCAGGGAAACUUGUGCUAAUACCGAAUGUGCCCUUCGGGGGAAAGAUUUAUCGCCUUUAGAGCGGCCCGCGUCUGAUUAGCUAGUUGGUGGGGUAAUGGCCCACCAAGGCUACGAUCAGUAGCUGGUCUGAGAGGAUGACCAGCCACAUUGGGACUGAGACACGGCCCAAACUCCUACGGGAGGCAGCAGUGGGGAAUCUUGCGCAAUGGGCGAAAGCCUGACGCAGCCAUGCCGCGUGGAUGAUGAAGGUCUUAGGAUUGUAAAAUCCUUUCACCGGUGAAGAUAAUGACUGUAGCCGGAGAAGAAGCCCCGGCUAACUUCGUGCCAGCAGCCGCCGCUG
rnacentral:rRNA from 1 species